rnacentral:rRNA from 1 species
UACGUAGGGGGCAAGCGUUGUCCGGAUUUAUUGGGCGUAAAGAGCGUGUAGGCGGCCAGACAGGUCCGUUGUGAAAACUCGAGGCUCAACCUCGAGACGCCGAUGGAAACCGUCUGGCUAGAGUCCGGAAGAGGAGAGUGGAACUUCCUGGUGUAGCGGUGAAAUGCGCAGAUAUCAGGAAGAACACCCGGUGGCUAAGGCGGCGUCUCUAGUACGGUACUGACGCUGAGACGCGAAAGCGUGGGGAGCGAACAGGG